rnacentral:lncRNA from 1 species
CGCCACACCAUAAACACCAAUACCAACACCACCACCAAGACCGCUAUCAACACCACCAAUACCAAUACCACCAACACCAACAACAAUACCAAUACCAAUGUCACCAACACCACCACCAAUACUAAUACCAAUGCCACCAACACCACCACCAACACUAAUACCAAUGCCACCAAUACCAACACCAACACCAAUACCAAUGCCACCAACACCAACAAUACCAUUAAUACCAAUACCACCAAUACCAACACUACCACCAGC